GUACUUAUCUGGACGGGGUCAAUGGUUGAUCACUGGCCUAUGCUAGUGACCCUGCGUCAUAAUUUGUGACAGAAGGGGCCUGUGUUCGCGCGGCCCCCAC
rnacentral:snRNA from 10 species